AUUGGAUAAAUAUUACUAUGUGUAAGCAACUGACCUAGACAAUACACUGUUCACAAAGCACUUAUGUAUGUAAAAGAAAAAUGUAUAAAACAAAUAUAAAUAAAAAAAAACCUAAUUAAGAUCAGAAUUAGCAGCCACUGAUCGUCUAGUUUCUCUACUCUUGCUUUAAAGCAAUCCAAAAUUGGUAAUGAUCCCAUAUCAUAGUUGCAUGCACUGUACUUUAUUCAUCCACUUAAGAUGAUAAAAAACCAAAACCACAUCUUGAUACUCUGGACAUAACUUGCACCAUGGAUUUAUGUUGAAACAGAGAGAGGGAACAAGCUGUAAAAACCCACAUGACUUUACCCCUUCUGUCUGUCUGUCUCUCUUUCUUUCUCGCCCAUCUUCUGGUUCAGGUGACUCUGAAUGGCCUUACAUCAAGAGAGAACAACAUAUAACAACUAUUAUAACUAUAAAAUGGAUUAAAAUUACAAAAAAUUAAAACUGGAAGGUGGGGUGCCUUCUUUGGUAGUGGACUUCCAAUGGAGUCUAGUUUUAAAGGAGCAAAAAGCACAGAAGCUUGUGCCAUUCCACCAGCACCCAGCAAUCUACUGGCUCUAGUAGAACCUUUUCCAAGAUCUGACUCCAGUUGCUGUGGAAGACCAAAGCAUUUUUUUUAGUGAAACAAGACAUAAUUGCUUUAUUUUAGAGACAAGAAAUGAGGAUUUUCUUCUUGUGGUGUGCCCUGAAAGCCCAGAGGGUGUUUUAAAACUCAGACAAAUUCCUCUGCUCUUCAGUGGUAGAAUAAUGUUUCUCUCUGUGUGUGUGUCUCUCUCUCCCCCACUUCUUUGAUCUUUUUAAAAAAAUAUUUUUAUUCUAUUUAUUUUUUAGUGGUUGGAUUUAUUUACUGUCUUUCCUUCAACUCAUCACCUUCCACACUUCCUGCCCUUGCAAAGAAAAAAAAAACCUGUGAGGUAGGUUGGGUUAAAAAGGAGAAGGAAAAUCCAGUCACCCAGUAACUUUCCAUGGCUGAGAAUGGAGAAGCCAGCCCAGCAUUUAACCAGCAUCUCAAUUAUCACACCAUAUAUCACUUCUUCUUUACAAGGAGUUAUUCUUAUAUGUUUUUUUUUACUUUACACUAUUAAAUGAAGGCAACUCUCACCUACAACUUUAUAGCUUAUAAAUUCAAGCAAAGGAAGUCUA
rnacentral:lncRNA from 1 species